rnacentral:rRNA from 2 species
GGUUAAGCGACUAAGCGUACACGGUGGAUGCCUAGGCAGUCAGAGGCGAUGAAGGGCGUGCUAAUCUGCGAAAAGCGUCGGUAAGCUGAUAUGAAGCGUUAUAACCGACGAUACCCGAAUGGGGAAACCCAGUGCAAUACGUUGCACUAUCGUUAGAUGAAUACAUAGUCUAACGAGGCGAACCGGGGGAACUGAAACAUCUAAGUACCCCGAGGAAAAGAAAUCAACCGAGAUUCCCCCAGUAGCGGCGAGCGAACGGGGAGGAGCCCAGAGUCUGAAUCAGUUUGUGUGUUAGUGGAAGCGUCUGGAAAGUCGCACGGUACAGGGUGAUAGUCCCGUACACCAAAAUGCACAGGCUGUGAACUCGAUGAGUAGGGCGGGACACGUGACAUCCUGUCUGAAUAUGGGGGGACCAUCCUCCAAGGCUAAAUACUCCUGACUGACCGAUAGUGAACCAGUACCGUGAGGGAAAGGCGAAAAGAACCCCGGCGAGGGGAGUGAAAUAGAACCUGAAACCGUGUACGUACAAGCAGUGGGAGCACCUUCGUGGUGUGACUGCGUACCUUUUGUAUAAUGGGUCAGCGACUUAUAUUUUGUAGCAAGGUUAACCGAAUAGGGGAGCCGUAGGGAAACCGAGUCUUAACUGGGCGUCUAGUUGCAAGGUAUAGACCCGAAACCCGGUGAUCUAGCCAUGGGCAGGUUGAAGGUUGGGUAACACUAACUGGAGGACCGAACCGACUAAUGUUGAAAAAUUAGCGGAUGACUUGUGGCUGGGGGUGAAAGGCCAAUCAAACCGGGAGAUAGCUGGUUCUCCCCGAAAGCUAUUUAGGUAGCGCCUCGUGAACUCAUCUUCGGGGGUAGAGCACUGUUUCGGCUAGGGGGCCAUCCCGGCUUACCAAACCGAUGCAAACUCCGAAUACCGAAGAAUGUUAUCACGGGAGACACACGGCGGGUGCUAACGUCCGUCGUGAAGAGGGAAACAACCCAGACCGCCAGCUAAGGUCCCAAAGUCAUGGUUAAGUGGGAAACGAUGUGGGAAGGCACAGACAGCCAGGAUGUUGGCUUAGAAGCAGCCAUCAUUUAAAGAAAGCGUAAUAGCUCACUGGUCGAGUCGGCCUGCGCGGAAGAUGUAACGGGGCUAAACCAUGCACCGAAGCUGCGGCAGCGACACUUAGGUGUUGUUGGGUAGGGGAGCGUUCUGUAAGCCGUUGAAGGUGACCUGUGAGGGUUGCUGGAGGUAUCAGAAGUGCGAAUGCUGACAUAAGUAACGAUAAUGCGGGUGAAAAACCCGCACGCCGGAAGACCAAGGGUUCCUGUCCAACGUUAAUCGGGGCAGGGUGAGUCGACCCCUAAGGCGAGGCUGAAAAGCGUAGUCGAUGGGAAACAGGUUAAUAUUCCUGUACUUGGUGUUACUGCGAAGGGGGGACGGAGAAGGCUAGGCUGGCCGGGCGACGGUUGUCCCGGUUUAAGCGUGUAGGGGGAGUGACCAGGUAAAUCCGGUUGCUUAUCAACCCUGAGGCGUGAUGACGAUGCACUACGGUGCAGAAGCAGUUGAUGCCAUGCUUCCAGGAAAAGCCUCUAAGCAUCAGGUAACAUUAAAUCGUACCCCAAACCGACACAGGUGGUCAGGUAGAGAAUACUCAGGCGCUUGAGAGAACUCGGGUGAAGGAACUAGGCAAAAUGGUGCCGUAACUUCGGGAGAAGGCACGCUGGCGUUAGGUGAAAGGACUAGCUCCUGGAGCUGAAGCCAGUCGCAGAUACCAGCUGGCUGCAACUGUUUAAUAAAAACACAGCACUGUGCAAACACGAAAGUGGACGUAUACGGUGUGACGCCUGCCCGGUGCUGGAAGGUUAAUUGAUGGGGUCAGCCACAAGGCGAAGCUCUUGAUCGAAGCCCCAGUAAACGGCGGCCGUAACUAUAACGGUCCUAAGGUAGCGAAAUUCCUUGUCGGGUAAGUUCCGACCUGCACGAAUGGCGUAAUGAUGGCCAGGCUGUCUCCACCCGAGACUCAGUGAAAUUGAACUCGCUGUGAAGAUGCAGUGUACCCGCGGCAAGACGGAAAGACCCCGUGAACCUUUACUAUAGCUUGACACUGAACAUUGAGCCUUGAUGUGUAGGAUAGGUGGGAGGCCUUGAAGUGUGGACGCCAGUCUGCAUGGAGCCAACCUUGAAAUACCACCCUUUAAUGUUUGAUGUUCUAACUCGGCCCCAUAAUCUGGGGUGAGGACAGUGUCUGGUGGGUAGUUUGACUGGGGCGGUCUCCUCCCAAAGAGUAACGGAGGAGCACGAAGGUUAGCUAAUCACGGUCGGACAUCGUGAGGUUAGUGCAAAGGCAUAAGCUAGCUUGACUGCGAGAGUGACGGCUCGAGCAGGUACGAAAGUAGGUCUUAGUGAUCCGGUGGUUCUGAAUGGAAGGGCCAUCGCUCAACGGAUAAAAGGUACUCCGGGGAUAACAGGCUGAUACCGCCCAAGAGUUCAUAUCGACGGCGGUGUUUGGCACCUCGAUGUCGGCUCAUCACAUCCUGGGGCUGAAGUAGGUCCCAAGGGUAUGGCUGUUCGCCAUUUAAAGUGGUACGCGAGCUGGGUUUAGAACGUCGUGAGACAGUUCGGUCCCUAUCUGCCGUGGGCGUUGGAAGAUUGAGAGGGGCUGCUCCUAGUACGAGAGGACCGGAGUGGACGAAUCACUGGUGUUCGGGUUGUCAUGCCAAUGGCAUUGCCCGGUAGCUAAAUUCGGAAGAGAUAACCGCUGAAAGCAUCUAAGCGGGAAACUUGCCUCGAGAUGAGUCUUCCCUGGGGCUUAAAGCCCCCUGAAGGAACGUUAAAGACUAUGACGUUGAUAGGCUGGGUGUGUAAGUGCAGCGAUGUAUUGAGCUAACCAGUACUAAUGAUCCGUGAGGCUUAACCUU